GAUGAACGCUGGCGGCGUGCCUAAUACAUGCAAGUCGAGCGAACAGACGAGGAGCUUGCUCCUCUGACGUUAGCGGCGGACGGGUGAGUAACACGUGGAUAACCUACCUAUAAGACUGGGAUAACUUCGGGAAACCGGAGCUAAUACCGGAUAAUAUAUUGAACCGCAUGGUUCAAUAGUGAAAGACGGUUUUGCUGUCACUUAUAGAUGGAUCCGCGCCGCAUUAGCUAGUUGGUAAGGUAACGGCUUACCAAGGCAACGAUGCGUAGCCGACCUGAGGGGGUGAUCGGCCACACUGGAACUGAGACACGGUCCAGACUCCUACGGGAGGCAGCAGUAGGGAAUCUUCCGCAAUGGGCGAAAGCCUGACGGAGCAACGCCGCGUGAGUGAUGAAGGUCUUCGGAUCGUAAAACUCUGUUAUUAGGGAAGAACAAAUGUGUAAGUAACUAUGCACGUCUUGACGGUACCUAAUCAGAAAGCCACGGCUAACUACG
rnacentral:rRNA from 1 species